rnacentral:rRNA from 1 species
AAUGGGCGAAAGCCUGACGCAGCAAUGCCGCGUGAGGGAAGAAGGUCUUAGGAUUGUAAACCUCUUUCAGCAGGGACGAAAACAGACGGUACCUGCAGAAGAAGCCCCGGCUAACUACGUGCCAGCAGCCGCGGUAAUACGUAGGGGGCGAGCGUUGUCCGGAAUCAUUGGGCGUAAAGAGCGUGUAGGCGGACUGGAAGGUCUGGUGUGAAAGCCCGGGGCUCAACCCCGGAGGGUCACUGGAAACCAACAGUCUUGAAUCUGGAAGAGGAGAGUGGAAUUCCUGGUGUAGCGGUGGAAUGCGCAGAUAUCAGGAGGAACACCGAUGGCGAAGGCAGCUCUCUGGUACAUGAUUGACGCUGAGACGCGAAAGCGUGGGGAGCGAA